rnacentral:rRNA from 1 species
GUCAUUUGAUAUCAAGCUUAUCGAUACCGUCCGUCUGCACUGCAGCGCGAACUGGUUUCCUUGAGUACGCACAAAGUGGGCGGAAUUCGUGGUGUAGCGGUGAAAUGCUUAGAUAUCACGAAGAACUCCGAUUGCGAAGGCAGCUCACUGGAGCGCAACUGACGCUGAAGCUCGAAAGUGCGGGUAUCGAACAGGAUUAGAUACCCUGGUAGUCCGCACGGUAAACGAUGGAUGCCCGCUGUUGGUCUGAAUAGGUCAGCGGCCAAGCGAAAGCAUUAAGCAUCCCACCUGGGGAGUACGCCGGCAACGGUGAAACUCAAAGGAAUUGACGGGGGCCCGCACAAGCGGAGGAACAUGUGGUUUAAUUCGAUGAUACGCGAGGAACCUUACCCGGGCUUGAAUUGCAGAGGAAGGAUUUGGAGACAAUGACGCCCUUCGGGGCCUCUGUGAAGGUGCUGCAUGGUUGUCGUCAGCUCGUGCCGUGAGGUGUCGGCUUAAGUGCCAUAACGAGCGCAACCCCUCUCCUUAGUUGCCAUCAGGUCAAGCUGGGCACUCUGGGGACACUGCCACCGUAAGGUGUGAGGAAGGUGGGGAUGACGUCAAAUCAGCACGGCCCUUACGUCCGGGGCUACACACGUGUUACAAUGGCAGGUACAGAGAGACGGUCCCUUGCAAAACGGAUCAAAUCCUUAAAGCCUGUCUCAGUUCGGACUGGGGUCUGCAACCCGACCCCACGAAGCUGGAUUCGCUAGUAAUCGCGCAUCAGCCAUGGCGCGGUGAAUACGUUCCCGGGCCUUGUACACACCGCCCGUCAAGCCAUGAAAGCCGGGGGCGCCUAAAGUCCGUGACCGUAAGGAGCGGCCUAGGGCGAAACUGGUAAUUGGGGCUAAGUCGUAACAAGGUAGCCGUACCGGAAGGUGCGGCUG